GAAAGCCUGGUUAAUGCAAAUACACAUUUUGGCCUGGAUCUCUUCCAAAUGCUGAACAAGCAUGACCCAAAGGGCAGCAUCUUCUUUUCUGGAUUCAACAUUUCCUCCGCGCUUGCCAUGGUGCUCUUAAGGUCCAAGGGCAUCACUGCAGCUCAGCUCUCAAAGGCAUUUCACUUUGAUGAAGCUGAAGACCUUCAUUCGAGGUUCCAGGCACUUAGUAGUGAGAUGAACAGCAGCAGUCCCUACUAUGUACUGAAGAUGGCUAGCAGGUUGUUUGGAGAGAAGACCUGCUUCUUUUUGCAAGACUUCUUGACUAGGACUCACAACAUGUACGGAGCUGAGCUUUCAAGUGUGGAUUUCCUAAAUGCUCCCAACAGUGCACAGAACCAUAUCAACCAAUGGGCUGAGGAACAGACAGAAGGUGAAAUGUUUUUGGAAAACUCAUGCCUCAUGCAUGUAUCACCGUUGCUGGGUGCAAAGCAGAUAUGUGUAUAUGGACAAAUGUUAUUUCUUCAAUUUAUUUAUACUGCUUUCUAAUCUCACACAAGUUGAGGAAAUUCUGUAUACAUUUAUAUACUUUCCAGGAGUGCUGAAAGUUCACCAGACUUUCUGCCAUUAGCCAAGGCGAGGAAGGGUAUUCUAGAGGAUGGGUGCCACCACCAGGAAGGCCUGUUCAUGUGCUAGGACAUGGAGGCAGUGUUGUUGCACAGUGACUAUCCAGGUCUCCUUGAAUGAUCUCAGGCAUUGCCUGGGUUCAUCUAAG